UGUAAUUCUUCUUCUUUUUCUUUACAAUAAUAUUUGUCUUCUUGUUAUUAUCAGCAGCAGCAACGGCGGCUCCAAAAUAGUUGCAGCCUAGUGCUGUAUUCUGGCUCGGGUCUGAACCGGACCGGAUCGGACCCGCGGUCCUGGCGGGCUAAUAUUUGUCUUCUUGUUAUCAUCAUCAGCAGCAACUGAGGCUCCAAAAUAGUUACAACCUAAACACCCUAUUAUUUUGCAGAAUUGACAUGGCUCUGGUUCUGUUGGAACACGAAACAGAGGUGGCUCUAAACUUGACAUGCACGUAGAAGGUGAAGAAGAUGAAAUUAUAUAUUGAAAUUCUUGAGUUGUAUGACCUGUUAUGACAUUUUUCAAAGCAGAAACCAUAAUAGAAAACUCUUGUUCAUCUGUGAACUUUGGCUGUGAAAUUAGAUGGUUGACUGAAACAGUUUCCUCUUGUUUAGUUGUCUUGGUUGAGCUCUGCAUGGUUGAAAUAAAGGUGAAAAUAUUGGUAUUUGGGUUACAGACUUUCAGAUAGUUUUCUGGUGUUUGAGUUCUUUGCUUUAUAUACGAGGAAAUGAGAAUACAGAUUAACGUGGAUAAGCAAAAGUUAUAGUAAUACACAUUUGGUACACGGGUUUGAUUUUAGCUGAGCACGUGGGAAUUCAAAUGAUGAAGUUGACAUAUUGGUUUCUAGUGGGUUUGGAGAUGAGGUGGCGGUCAUACGGGCCGGUUUCCCGGUAAUACUUGAUGACAUGGCCGAGGAGUAAGCGUUGACACGGUAAACUAUGACGUAAUGCCUUACCGAAGGAGAGAGGUUUGAAAUUUUUGGGAGACAAGAAUGGGGACAGUUGACAGUCAAAUGUCGCCUUGAAUUAAAAAGGACCAAAGUACCAUAUCGAGAGCCUGUUUGGAUUGCCUUAAAAAAAAGUGAUUUCUCACCAAAAAUAACUUUUAAGUUAAAAAAAUAAUAAGUUAAAGUUACCCAACUUAUUAUUUUUCACUUACUUUAAGCAUUUUUUUAAAUUAUUUUAAGUACUUUUUGACUUUUGCCAAACAUUGAAAAAAGCUAAAUAGAGUUUUCAUUAUAUUUUAUAUUAAUGAUAGUUGAAGAAAAUAAUACUACCAAGUUUAAGGACCCAUUCAUAUAUUGAACCUAGUUUAAUUAAUAGAAGGGACACACAUCAAAAGUUUAAAAUCUAUUAGUAGUUCUUUUUAUCAUUUGUAUAAACUGCUAAUAUACUUCUUUCAAUCGUUAAAUGACCAAGUUAGUUUUCUCUCAGAGUGCACUUGUUUGAACAAAAGAUGUCAAAACCUUUAUGAUUGAAACAACUAAAGAUAAAGAUGAUGUCAAUCUUAGUUAAACACAAUAAAAUCUAGAUCAAGUGAUGAAGAGAGUAAGCAAGAUGAAUAAUAUAAUAAAUAUGUUGGAAUCAAAUAAAUGCUCAUAAAUGUGAAGACUUAAAUGCACAAUCGAGCUUAAAAGAUGCAAUCAGUGUUGGGGGGGGGGUUAGAGGGAAUACAUAUGAGAUGAUUGGGGAAUGUUUUGAUCUUCUCACAUAAACAAGACUAGGUUAGGGCUCCCCCUAUUAGGGUUUCGCCAAACUUUUUCAGUAGUUCCAACGAUAUUUGCUCUCUCAAAAGAUCAUUGCCUUUUACCGAUGUGACGUAGUGAACGAUAUGAUCUUCUCGGUCUGUAGUACCAUUGUAUAUCUUCAGGUACGGUAGUAUUUUGAAGGUUUUAGGAAUGGCAUGGGGGACUGCUUCCUCAUUGUAUGGUACGGUAAAUAUAGACAUUCACCAUAAAUAGAAUUCUAUUUAUAAUACUCCCCCUUGAAUGUCUAUUCAACAGAUAAUGUGCCUCGUUAAAACCUUAACUAAAAGAAAACCCAAUAGGAAAAAAAAUUCUAGAAAAGGAAAAAGAGUACACAUAUCUAACAAUACGCCUUUGGUUGCCUCAUUAAAAACCUUGCAAGAAAAAUUCAGUGAGACAAAAUCUUGUUAGGAAAAAAGAGUGCAACGUGCAUUAACUCCCCCUGAUGAGAGCAUCAGCCUUUGCAUUCCAAUCUUGUGCACUAGCUUCUUGAAGGUUGACAUCGGCAGAGUUUUGGUGUCGCAUCCCAAUCUUGUGCACUAGCUUCUUGAAGGUUGACAUCAGCAGAUUUUUGGUGAAUAAAUCAUCCAUAUUAACUCCAAUGAAUAUAUUGCACCUUGAAAAUUCUCGCUAUCACAUUAUCAUGCUUAUAGUUAUAGCAAGAUACAAAUGUGCACAAAUUGCACUUAGCGUGUGGUACUUCAAGACCAAAUAUUGUAUAUGCUUUAAGCGGUUUAAGUCCUUCAAGGAUUGUCAUAUAAGUUAAGCCAUAUUAGCCAUCUAAAGAGGCUUUAGUGCAUAUCCGGUUUUUAUGUCUUCCAUAGACAUAUAAGAUAUCGAAAACUGAUUUCACAUAUCAUUGACUUUAUAUUUUUAAGUGUUUGAACUACGUGUCCAAAACUACAUGUCUUUCAUAUUACACCAAUUCUCUUUGAAUUGUGUAGUGUCUAUUUGGCCAAUAUUUAGUGUCUGUCUCGACAACCUUAAGAUCCUCAUCUAUACUUAGCGCUAUGAUAGAUGUCGUAGACAAAUAUUUUAUAUCGGUUUCAAUAUAUUUUCAUAAAAACAUAACAUAGAGAUCUCUUCAUUCAUAUAUUCAGGUACCUGAAUCUCUCAUGAGAUUUUAUGAAGUGUUACGCCAUAUGAUCUUCUAGAUCAGUUGCCUCCUUCAUUAUGAUCACUUUGAUCAUUUGCUCAUCUUCUUUAUCCAGAAGUUUAUUUGAAACCGAAUUGUCUAUACACUUUAAACGUACCAUAGACUUUGUCCUUCUAGGACUUAAUAUGAGCAUUUGCAAUGAGAAUAUNNNNNNNNNNNNNNNNNNNNNNNNNNNNNNNNNNNNNNNNNNNNNNNNNNNNNNNNNNNNNNNNNNNNNNNNNNNNNNNNNNNNNNNNNNNNNNNNNNNNNNNNNNNNNNNNNNNNNNNNNNNNNNNNNNNNNNNNNNNNNNNNNNNNNNNNNNNNNNNNNNNNNNNNNNNNNNNNNNNNNNNNNNGCUUUCUCAACUGUUUAUCAUGUCUCCCCCUCAUGUUAGAAAAACUAACUUAUUUCCUCAACUUUGAGAAUCCAUCUUUGUGCAUUAUGGUAUUAAUCAAUAUACACUGCACAUCAAUAGCAAUAAGAUAGAGUUAGUUGGUUCCUGACCCAUAACCACUUGUGAGGGGAGAAAAUAAUAUACUUUCGUAUAUAACGUAUAUCAAACUGAUAUAAAUAACUUUGUUCUCAUAAGCAAUAGUUUAGCUACUAAGUGGAGGCACUCCAUAAAUUAUUUUGCUAAACCAGCUGUGAUGUAAACCAACUUAUCAAGAUGAACUUUAUUGAAUAGAAAUUUGAAAAUUAUGCUUUAAAUUAAAUUAUUGAGCAAAUUACCUUGCAACUACCAAGUUGCGGGUUAAUAAUAAGCGCACAUAUAACUAUCUCAUAAAUGCAUCUUAUGUGGUAUACAUGGCAGGUGAAUGGGCUCAUAUUCACCUUUAAUAUUUUCAUCAUUCAUGGGAUUUAAUUCCAACUUUAGUUGGUCUAUUAAUUAAUAAGAACACGCAAUGUAAGAGAAUUCGUAAAGAACUUUCUAGUUCUUUAAUAUUUACCCAUAUGAAUUCUCUAUUAUUUUUGCACAUCAUACUUAAUUGAUAUGGCUAACCCAAAUGCCAACUGAAUAAAUUAUCAAUAUUGAUAAAGUUCAAAUUUACAGAAUGACACGUGCAAUUAUCAAUAAAUUCCAAGUUUAUUAUGACAUGGGUUUUUAUAUCAGUAAACAUCUACUUUAUUGUGGUAUUCAUUUAUUUGUGUAAUAUAAAUUGGAGAACAAAGCGGGUAACUUUAUUUUAUAUAUAUAUAUAUAUUGCCCCGCUACAAGUUGUAGUAAUAGAAGAUAUGAAAUCUUUCCUUUAUUUAUAGUCUCAAUAUAAUCAACCGCUUUCGCGUAUACUUUGGAAACUGAAUAAGUUUCUUUGAGACUUACAACAACACAAUNNNNNNNNNNNNNNNNNNNNNNNNNNNNNNNNNNNNNNNNNNNNNNNNNNNNNNNNNNNNNNNNNNNNNNNNNNNNNAACUCGGAGUACAAAUUCUCAAAAUAACCCGUCGGAUCAUUACACUAGAGCUCUCAAUUAAUUUGGUACUAUCACAUAUUUAUCAACAUCCAUAUGGUGAAUAUCUCUUUUAAAGAGAAAGUUAUACCAUUAUGGUCAUGGUCAAAAUCAUUAUCGGCAAGAUAUGUUGCUUCUACUACUUUUGCCAUCUAAUAAUUGCAUUGCCAUAAUCAUUCAUGCCAUAAUAAUGACAUUAUUCUUAUAUCAUCUCAAACCUCCUUCUAGAGGUGAAUGUGGUAUAUUCAAUACCAAUAGCACGUUCAUAUUCUUCCAAGAGUGAAUAUGUCUUCAUAAAUUAGAUGUUGUCACAUUUAUAUCAUGAAUGGACCAUAAUCAUCUAUAUGUGCUUUAUAAAAUCUCAUGUCAAAUCGAUGACNNNNNNNNNNNNNNNNNNNNNNNNNNNNNNNNNNNNNNNNNUAUAAAAUCUCAUGUCAAAUCGAUGACAAAUAUUACUUUCACAGAGUGAAGGAUUAUUUUGAGAAUCCUUAUUAUUCUCAAUAUCACAAUAAUGACGAUUUUAAUUUCGUCUAUUGUAGAAGUAAUUUUGUCUUCUUUCAGAAUUAUCACAUACUGCUAUCACAUUCUCUAAAGGUGAUGAGAAUGGAGCAAAUCCAAUGGGACGAGUUUUCAAUUCUUUGCCCACAAUAUACAUGAAUUUGAUCAUGGCAAGGCAUAGAAAUUUUAUCACUUCGAGUGGUUAUAAUUUAUUACUAACUCCAUUAGAGUUAUAAUCAAAAUUUAUUGUCUUUGCUUGUAUUUAAAAUCAAAUCAUAGAAUAAAAGAGAAAAAUACGGUAAAAUACUUACCUUAAAUCCAGAAUUUAAUCAUGAAGGAAGUUUAUGGAACAAUUGACAAUCAUUAUGCUCAAUCCUAAAGCUUCUACCCAAUUGGUUAGAGUCUCGUGCUGAUAACGUAUUAUGAAAUAAUAAAAAAAGAAGAAGAGUAUUGUAGAGCAAAGUAGAGAGAGAGGGAAUUCUUAUUAAUGUUACAAUGGAAUAGAACCAUCUACUUAUAGGGAGAGGGUUACUUAGCAUCAAGUGAUAAACUCUAGAAUCUCUCUUAAUAUAGAUGUUCACCAUAAAUAGAAUUCUAUUUAUAACAUCAUAAAGAAUAUUCGAAAGGUAUAUUUUUGUUGUCUCCCAGUAAGUUUACACAGUCGUAGGGUAAAAAUAAAUUUUCUUAGACAGAGAGAGAAUUUAAAAUCUCCAUAACAUAAGUGAAAUACAUGUUUAAAUGCAGGAUAUUGUAUUUUUGGAUAUUUUAUAAUCACCUUAUUAGAAUUUCUGAUAUACAAUAAAUUUCAGCCAAAGAAAAAAUGAACACUUAUUCGAGAUUGGAGGAGUUGGAUUAAAAAUAUGUUGUUCAAUGGGUCAACUUGGGUCAAUUUUAGCUACUCAAGUAACCAAAUUGACCCAUAAGCUUUGUCAAGAAAUUACAACAAAAAUAUUCUAUGUUUUUAGUGCACCCCACAAAUCCAAAUUGAUUGGAGUACUGUGCCUAAGUAUUUACAAUCGAUAAAGACUUAACAAAAAAAGAAAAAUAAAUUGAAGUACAUUUAAAAUCAGAAAUUAUUAAAUAGCCCAAAUUUUAUAAAACUAAAUGGGCAUGAAAAACACCCUACUCUACUGCAAAUUCUUUUAUUCUUUUUCUCCUUUCCUUUCCAAAUCCAAUCCUUGUUUAAUUAAAAUCAAGGUUGGCUCAAUAAAUUUUGUGGCCUAAAGUCAAACUUUAAUAUGAGGUCCUUUUAAAAUCAUACAUAUAUUUUUAGUUGAAGUAGAUUUUUCUAGCUUUUUGAGAAUAAAAUUACUUAAAGUUUUUCGCAUAAGCUAUUUAAUUUCUCACCUGCAGUAUGAUCUUAAGUAAUACAACACGAUUUAAGAAGUUGAUAACUUUGUGUUAAAAGAAAUUUAAUAAUUUAAUAUACUUAUUGCAAUGAUAAAAACUGAGGAAAAAAAAUAGAGUUUAAAAGUAUAUUACAUAUUUUCUAAUGGUUAAUGUAAUCCUUUUUUUAAUAUAAUAUUUUAUUUUCUACUUUGAAAUAUUAAAUAUUUUCUUAAAAAGAUUUGGGGCCUCACGAGAAGAGUUGUGGUGGGAUGGAUAACAUAUUUCCUUCUUUAAUCGGAAGUAUUCGAUUUCGGUAUUUGAAAUGAAAAAAAAUAUUUUCUUCUUUAAUCGGAAGUAUUCGAUUUUAGUAUUUGAAAUGAAGCAAAAACCUAUGUUAAAAAAAUAAAAAAAUCCUUUAUAAGGAAUAAUUCUCAAUUUAAUGGACUUUACACAAUACAAAUUUGAAUUAAUCAAUACCCUAAGUUAAAUAUCAAACAUCAAAUAAGAAUUUACAAACAAAAAUUGUUGCCCCCAAAAUUCUAAGCCUAAAGCCAUCGUGAUUUUACCCUCUGAUCGCCCUUGAUUAAAAGUGAUCAUCAGAAGCUCUGAGCAAUACUCCCUCCGGCAGAAUCUGAAGAAUGGCCAUUGAAAUCCAUCAUCCCCAUGCAAUCUUGAAUCUCAUUAUCCCAUUUCAUUAAUUGAUUCCAGAAUUCUUCUUCUUUUCCAAUACCUACAUCUGUUUUAAUUCCCUGCUCUAACUGUACUGGCUCUUCUUGUUGCUGGGAUGAAGUAGUGGCAUUCUGCUGUUGUAUUGAUGUAUAAUCAGCAAAUGAGAAAUUAAGUUUCGCUCUAGGACCUCUAAAUUCAAUAGCAGCUUUAUCAUAAGCUCGAGCUGCAUCCUCUGCUGUAUUAAAAGUCCCAAGCCAUACUCUAGCUGCCCUUCUUGGAUCUCUAAUUUCCGCAGCCCAUUUUCCCCACGGUCUUUGUCUCACUCCUCUGUAAUUCUUCUUCUUUUUCUUUACAAUAAUAUUUGUCUUCUUGUUAUCAUCAUCAGCAGCAUGCAGCCCAUUUCCCCCACGGUCUUUGUCUCACUCCUCUGUAAUUCUUCUUCUUUUUCUUUACAAUAAUAUUUGUUUUCUUGUUAUCAACAGCAGCAGCAACUGAGGCUCCAAAAUAGUUACAACCUAAACACCCUUUUAUUUUGCAGAAUUGACAUGGCUCUGGUUCUGUUGGAACACGAAACAGAGGUGGCAAACUUGACAUGCACGUAGAAGGUGAAGAAGAUGAAAUUAUAUAUUGAAAUUCUUGAGUUGUAUCACCUGUUAUGACAUUUUUCAAAGCAGAAACCAUAAUAGAAAACUCUUGUUCAUCU
rnacentral:lncRNA from 1 species